CCUACGGGUGGCAGCAGUGGGGAAUAUUGCACAAUGGGGGAAACCCUGAUGCAGCGACGCCGCGUGAGUGAAGAAGUAUUUCUGUAUGUAAAGCUCUAUCAGCCGGGAAGAAAAUGACGGUACCUGUCUAAGAAGCCCCGGCUAAAUACGUGCCAGCAGCCGCGGUAAUACGUAGGGGGCAAGCGUUAUCCGGAUUUACUGGGUGUAAAGGGAGCGUAAGCGGCAGCGCAAGUCUGACGUGAAAUCCCAUGGCUUAACCAUGGAACUGCUUUGGAAACUGUGCAGCUGGAGUGGAGGAGAGGUAAGCGGAAUGCGUAGUGUAGCGGUGAAAUGCGUAGAUAUUAGGAGGAACACCAGUGGCGAAGGCGGCUUACUGGACUGUAACUGACGUUGAGGCUCGAAAGCGUGGGGAGCAAACAGGAUUAGAUACCCUUGUAGUC
rnacentral:rRNA from 1 species